GCGCUAUUGUAAAACAGUAUAAAGCCAGUUCCAAAAGCUGCUAGGGCAUUGAGUGCUCUUCCUGUCUAUGAUAUACGUGAAUAUACUGCAUCCUUGUUUAUUACAGAUACCUCAUAGAGUCCUCAAGCACAGCAAGAUCGAGACGCAACAAUGGCUCAUAUGGCUGCAUUAUUUUUCCUCAGUGUUAUUCCUGUACAACUUGCCUACCUGGUGGAUGAUACUUGUGAGGGACGGGGAUAUAUUUGCAUAACUUUCUAUCAGUGCGAAGUGAACAAAACACUGCCUUUUAAAGGUUGUCAUGGUUGGAAGAACUGUUGUGAUUAUCCGGAAUAUGCGAAGUGUCAUCACAGAGGAGGAACUUGCAAGUCUGAAUGCCCAAAGUCGGACAUUGAACAUCCGUAUGGACGCUGUUCGACAGAACAGGAAAAGUGCUGCUUAACCUUUGGUCAAAAAUCUAAUCGGUGGUGAACCUCUCCUUUUUUGCUUGAUUGCAAAACAAGACUCUGAAAAAGAAAAUGUCUGGAAAGUCUACUCAACUGCAGGAAAGUACUCUUAUGACUGAGGAAAUAUUCGGCCAGGAUAAUUAGGCAACAAUUCUUAUAUUGUGCAGCAAUAAGAGAUCACAGAGUUCAAGCAGUCCUUCCUUUAUUAAAUACCGAAACACAAGUCUCUCUAGAAGAAAUAAAAGAUAAAGUUUUUCCUGUA